GGGUUGAAAGCCCCGGCAAGUGCCCGGAAGGCCCGGGUGGAUCAACUCUUAAUCCGUAGGUCGAGUGUUCGAGCCACUCACAACCCACCA
rnacentral:tRNA from 1 species